rnacentral:rRNA from 1 species
GGGUGAGUAAUGCGUAGGAAGCUACCCGAUAGAGGGGGAUACCAGUUGGAAACGACUGUUAAUACCGCAUAAUGUCUACGGACCAAAGUGUGGGACCUUCGGGCCACAUGCUAUCGGAUGUGCCUACGUGGGAUUAGCUAGUUGGUGAGGUAAUGGCUCACCAAGGCGACGAUCCCUAGCUGGUUUGAGAGGAUGAUCAGCCACACUGGAACUGAGACACGGUCCAGACUCCUACGGGAGGCAGCAGUGGGGAAUAUUGGACAAUGGGCGCAAGCCUGAUCCAGCCAUGCCGCGUGUGUGAAGAAGGCCUUCGGGUUGUAAAGCACUUUCAGUAAGGAGGAAGCGUUGAGUGUUAAUAGUACUCAGCGUUGACGUUACUUACAGAAGAAGCACCGGCUAACUCUGUGCCAGCAGCCGCGGUAAUACAGAGGGUGCAAGCGUUAAUCGGAAUUACUGGGCGUAAAGCGCACGUAGGCGGUUUUUUAAGUCAGAUGUGAAAGCCCCGGGCUCAACCUGGGAAUUGCAUUUGAAACUGGAAAACUAGAGUGUGUGAGAGGGGGGUAGAAUUCCAAGUGUAGCGGUGAAAUGCGUAGAGAUUUGGAGGAAUACCAGUGGCGAAGGCGGCCCCCUGGCACAACACUGACGCUCAGG